rnacentral:tRNA from 1 species
AUUGUUAUAGUUUAAAAAAAACUUUACAUUUUCAUUGUGAAAAUAGGUAAACUUACCUUAACGAUA